AGUUCGGAUUGGGGUCUGCAACUCGACCCCAUGAAGUCGGAGUCGCUAGUAAUCGCAGAUCAGCAACGCUGCGGUGAAUACGUUCCCGGGCCUUGUACACACCGCCCGUCAAGUCACGAAAGUCGGUAACACCCGAAGCCGGUGGCCCAACUCUUUGAGAGGGAGCCGUCGAAGGUGGGACUGGCGAUUGGGACUAAGUCGUAACAAGGUAGCCGUACCGGAAGGUGCGGCUGGAUCACCUCCUUUCUAAGGAG
rnacentral:rRNA from 1 species